GUCACUUUGCCGGAGUGGUUAACGGGAUCGCCUGCUAUCCCUCUCAAGAGUCGUAUUGAGCGGUUGCUCUUUGAGCGCGUGUGUUCGAAUCGCACAGGUGACG